UGUGAGUCAAAACACGCAUAUGUCCUUAAGCCUACAAAAGCAUACCAUAGAAUUGUAUAAAAUUGGAUAUCUUAUUUCUAUUAUGGGAGGAAAAUAAAAAAAUGACAAAUUUUCAUUUAUUCACCACUUGUAGAGGCAGGCAAACAGGAACAAAACCCUUGAAACUAGAAGAAAAUUUGAGAACACAGUUCUGCGCAUGAACAAAACCUUACAAAAGGUUGGACUUUUGCAGGAACAGAAUAGGUUACCUAAACCACCGGGCGCCAUGGAGAGGUAGUGCUUGGCCCGGGCGAUGGCAUCGGCGGGGAAGAUGAGGCCGACGUUGGGAUCAUCGAGCAGGAACGGAGCCUGGCACAGCGCCACCACCUGCAGCAAUCACAUCACACGGGAUAAGUAUUAAACGCCACCAAAUCUCCAAAACCCUAUGUCAGGGAACAAGAAGAGAUUGAGAAGCGAGGAGGAAGGGGAUGGAUAGAUGAUGAACCUGGCGGGGGAAGGUGAGGGGCUUCUGGCCGAGGGCGUGCGGGUUGCCGACGUUGGUGAAGAUGAUCCGCUUGC
rnacentral:lncRNA from 1 species